UUAUCUUAGAAGCACAAUUAAAAACAACAUAUAUACGGAAAUAUCUCGUUUAAUACACAUCGCAGAUCAUAACACUGUCACAUUUUUAUCCAACUUUCAAACAGAAACACCAAACACAAAUUGAUCAAAAUGGUUUUGUGCUGGAUCCGAGAUGAAAUUCCAGAGAAGAAUUCUGACCCACAUAUGAAAUAUCCAGGUCAAUAUUUGACCCCUGAAGAAUUAUACAUAACAACAGGUGUUCGAUUAUCACAGGUACCAUUAGAACACCUCACUAAUGAAGAUCGUUUGGCCGAGUUGAGGAAAUUCAAGGGUUAUGUCUACAACGAUUAUGUUACCAUUGUACGUGGUAAAACAGAAGAAGAAAAGAUAAAGAUGCAGGCAUACAUGACCGAACAUAUUCACCAUGAUCCAGAAGUCAGACUUAUUGUUGAUGGAAGUGGUUACUUCGAAGUUCGUGAUAUCGAUGAUAACUGGGUCAGAAUGCACGUGUUCCCCGGUGACCUUAUUGACCUCCCAACUGGUAUCUUUCACAGAUUUUCAUUGGAUAAUGAUGAGUAUGUAAGAAUGCACCGACUCUUCACAGAUGUUCCAGAUUGGACUGCUGUUAACAGAACUGAUAUUAUCACUCAUCCUUCCCGGGACAGAUAUCUGGAAUACAUGAACCAAGUCAAAACCGGAUUAAUUGAAGCUAAUUAAGAUCAAAGAUUGAAGGCCAUGGGUCAAACUGUGUGGUGUUGAAGGAAUGGAUUUAUAGAAAUGACUAUAACAGUUUACGACGCUGUAAUAAUAUAUUAACUCAGUAGGCAUUUGAUUUUAG